rnacentral:rRNA from 1 species
AACGAACGCUGGCGGCAGGCCUAACACAUGCAAGUCGAGCGGACCCUUCGGGGUUAGCGGCGGACGGGUGAGUAACGCGUGGGAACGUGCCCUUUGCUUCGGAAUAGCCCUGGGAAACUGGGAGUAAUACCGGAUACGCCCUUUUGGGGAAAGAUUUAUCGGCGAAGGAUCGGCCCGCGUUGGAUUAGGUAGUUGGUGGGGUAAUGGCCUACCAAGCCGACGAUCCAUAGCUGGUGUGAGAGGAUGAUCAGCCACACUGGGACUGAGACACGGCCCAGACUCCUACGGGAGGCAGCAGUGGGGGAUCUUAGACAAUGGGGGAAACCCUGAUCUAGCCAUGCCGCGUGAGCGAUGAAGGCCUUAGGGUUGUAAAGCUCUUUCACCGGGGAAGAUAAUGACGGUACCCGGAGAAGAAGCCCCGGCUAACUCCGUG